GGGGCUAUGGCCUAGUGGUAAGGCGUCCGCUUUGCAUGCGGAAGAUCUGGGGUUCGAUCCCCCAUGGCUCCA
rfam:Saitoella complicata NRRL Y-17804 DNA, contig: contig001, whole genome shotgun sequence.